CCUGAUCCAGCAAUGCCGCGUGCCGCGUGAGUGAAGAAGGCCUUCGGGUUGUAAAGCUCUUUUGUCAGGGAAGAAACGGUGAGGGCUAAUAUCCCUUGCUAAUGACGGUACCUGAAGAAUAAGCACCGGCUAACUACGUGCCAGCAGCCGCGGUAAUACGUAGGGUGCAAGCGUUAAUCGGAAUUACUGGGCGUAAAGCGUGCGCAGGCGGUUUUGUAAGUCUGAUGUGAAAUCCCCGGGCUCAACCUGGGAAUUGCAUUGGAGACUGCAAGGCUAGAAUCUGGCAGAGGGGGGUAGAAUCCACGUGUAGCAGUGAAAUGCGUACAUAUGU
rnacentral:rRNA from 1 species